CUCUUUCCUAAGUUCCAGACCUGUACAUCCAACUUGCCCGGUCCAUAUUCCUACUUGGAUGUCUCAGAGGCACCUCAGAAUCAACUCAGCCAAACUUCCCAGCCCCUCAAAACUCCUCGUCCAACAUUCUCCACUCAGAAAACGGCUCUACUUAGUUGUUCAAGCCAGAAACCUAGGAGUUACCCUCUAUUGCUCCUAUUCCCUGCUUUGCCUCCAUCACCCAUUCUCCCUCCUACACCUCUCCAAUCCAUAUAACCUCACACUUGCGUUUAAGCCCUCACCAUCUCUUAUCUGGACCGCUGCAAUGAGCUCCUGGCCGGUUUCUCUACAUCCAUUCUGCCCCUCCCUCGUUCACUACUUUGAAAUUUUGAGUCUUACCACAUCACUCAGCUGACUUCAGAGGCUUCCUACAUCAGUAAAAUGAAGUCCAGAGUUCUUCUCGGGACCUCCAUGAUUUCUUGCAUGGUCUCCAAGGCCCCACUACCUAUGUGAACUCAUCACGUGUCACUCCUGCCUCACUCACUGGGCAGCCCUCACAUUUCCCUUCUUUCAGUUCUUCAGAGAUACCAGGCUUUUCUCACCUCAGAGCCUUUGCACGUGUUGCUCUCUCCUUCUGCCCACACCACCUCCCUACCCUGCCCUUUCCACCUUGCUGAGUCCCACUCACCCUUCCAGUCCCAUCUUAAAUGCCCCCUCCCUCUAACAGCUCCCCCGUUAGAGAUGUCGUAUGUGUGUUCGAGAGUAUUUGUAUGCCUUUGUAUUUUGUAUAUUUGGCACACUGCAUUUCCCUCUGCCAAACUUUCACACUUGUAAUGAUUCAUUUCACUCGUUUAUUCAUCAACUUACACAGAGUCCCUGCUUGUGCCAGGCACUGUUGUAGGCACUGGGGUUGCAGCAUAGAAUGGCAGAGAUUCCUGCACUCAGGGAGCUUCCAUCCUUUGUAAUGUUUCCCUCCACUAUGUGAUUUUUAGUUCCUCGAGGAGAAGGUCAUGCUUGUUUUGCUGGCCGCUAUGUUCCAGUGUUUAGCACACUAGCACACUGUCAUGUGAAUAUUCAGUAGACAUUAGCCAACUGUCUGAUUGGCUUACUGAAGAUACUACUGGGCACAUAGUAAACAAAUACAUGUUGAAUUAGACAAGUUCAUUCAAGCAAUCACGUCCACAGAAAAAGGUAAUAUUUCAGAUUUAUCGUGAUGGUUUUCAUUGUAUCAUUUGAUUUUUAGUAAGGAAUUAUUGGUUCUCUUAUUCCUGUUAACCAACAUAAAUGAAUAAAUGAAUAAGACAAAUUAUUUCAGAAUGAAAAUAAAGUUAAGAAAAGCUAGGAUGGCUGGAGUCCAGUGGGCAGGGUAAAUGGUGCAAGAGGAGGUGGUCAGAAGCCUGCUCACAAAGCAAUGAUUUAGGACUUUUUUGUGGUUUCAGUGGGGAGAUAUCCGGGGUUUUUGUUUGUUUGUUUGUUUGUUUUGCGGUACGCGGGCCUCUCACUGUUGUGGCCUCUCCCGUUGCGGAGCACAGGGUCCGGACGUGCAGGCUCAGCGGCCAUGGCUCACGGGCCCAGCCGCUCCGCGGCAUGUGGGAUCUUACCGGACCGGGGCACGAACCCGCGUCCCCUGCAUCGGCAGGCGGACUCUCAACCACUGCGCCACCAGGGAAGCCCUAACCAUUUUUAUU